CAAUAGCGUAUAUUAAAGUUGUUGCGGUUAAAAAGCUCGUAGUUGGAUCUCGGCAGGCAGGGGGUGGUUCGCUCUUAGCGCUACUGCCCCAUUUGCCUGUGUGAUUGGCGGAGGUUUCGGGGUGCUCUUCGUUGAGUGACCCGGGGCGCCGUCAGGUUUACUUUGAAAAAAUUAGAGUGCUCAAAGCAGGCUUUUCACGCUUGAAUAUUCGUGCAUGGAAUAAUGGAAUAGGAACUCGUUUCUAUUUUGUUGGUUUUCGGAAAUCGAGUUAAUGAUUAAUAGGGACAAUUGGGGGCAUUAGUAUUCAGACGACAGAGGUGAAAUUCUUGGACCGUCUGAAGACUAACUACUGCGAAAGCGUUUGCCAAGAGUGUUUUCAUUAA
rnacentral:rRNA from 1 species